rnacentral:lncRNA from 1 species
CCCUCAAUCAUGCUCCCUCUUUCCCUCAGUCCUGCUCCCUCAAACUCAUCCUCAUUCUCUCUCUCCCGUCAAGCUCUCUCUCACCCUCUCUCUCUUUCUACACUCACGGCAAAACAACAAGACUCUCAAAUCUUCAUAGAUCGAAGAAAAUAAAACCACCAUCGUCUUCGUCUCGACGAUACGAGUCCAACCAUACCUAUUUCAGGUAAGAUCUCUAACGUUUUCACGUCGAAAUCACGAGCACCGAUUUGGGUACUAUUCAUCAACUUUUUAUUGGUUGAUUUUUAGGACUUUUCAAGCUUAUAGGAAGCUUCUUGAGGUCCUUAGGAGGCUCGGAGUAGUUCGUUGGAAGUUUUUGGACGUAAGAACAUGGAGAUCGACAAGUUCAAAGUUUGA